rnacentral:tRNA from 1 species
ACCCGGCUGGCUCAGUCGGUGGUGUGUGACUCCUGAUCUUGGGUUGUGGGUUCGAGCCCCACGUCGGGUG